rnacentral:lncRNA from 1 species
GAGCAAGUUUUUGAUGUAAUAGGCAGAGGAAUGAGGACAGUCUUGUGGGAGGCCAGGCUCACUAAUUCUGUCACUCAUGGGACAACUUGAUAUUUUAAUUUUGAUCAUGACUAAUGUCUGUUUCUCUUCUUUUUUUUUGUAGUUAAGUCUCAAGGAAAAGAAAAGUGAUUGCAAAAUGGGAAUGGAAACCUUGGUCCAUCUGGUGUUUGUUUGAGUGCUGUCAGGCAGAAAACAUGCCUUCCUCAUCUCUGCUGUUUAUUUUGAAGAGGCUUACAGGUUGACACGUUGAGUUUUGGGCAGUCUUCACUGAAUGUUGCAUAUGUGCAUUAAUGAAGAAGUCAUCUUUAAUGAAGUAUUUGCAUUUUUUCCUUGCUGAAUUCUCCAUACAAGGACUGGAUUGAGUGAGUGUAAUAGCAUAUCCUGAAGAUAUCUCACCUUUUAA